rnacentral:rRNA from 1 species
UAAGUAAUGUGAAUUGCAGAAUUCAGUGAAUCAUCGAAUCUUUGAACGCACAUUGCGCCCUCUGGUAUUCCAGAGGGCAUGCCUGUUUGAGCGUCAUUUCUCUCUCAAACCCUUGGGUUUGGUAUUGAGUGAUACUCUUAGUCGGACUAGGCGUUUGCUUGAAAUGUAUCGGCAUGAGUAGUACUGAAUAGUGCUUCAAGACUUUUUCAAUGUAUUAGGUUUAUCCAACUCGUUGAAUGGUUUAGUAGUAAAUUUUUAGUAUUAUUGGCUCGGCCUUACAAUACAACAAACAAGUUUGACCUCAAAUCAGGUAGGACUACCCGCUGAACUUAA